CGCAACAUAAUGUAGCAAAGAUGGCCACAUAAAUGUGAAGUAUAUAACGGUAUUUAUGCAACUUCAGCGUUUACUUAAUGUAUUUAUGUAACCCGCGAGUAAGUAACAUUUCAGGGACGCUUUUCCAUGAAAAUAUAUUUAAAGGCUUUUAUAACAUGUUAACUCUUACUUGCAAACUACAACAUAUAGUAAGAAAUGCGCUUUCAAUUAAAACGCUUCGCCUUACGGAUACUAUAGGGUCAUCGAGGGCUGGUCGAGAAUUCACAUGUUCAGCAAGCCGGUUACAACUACAGAACGAGCAGGGGAUGAAUGCAAAUGUUUUGUCUGGGAAGGUGCACAGAUUCGGCAGAUAUCAGCGAAUUAGUAUUUAGUAAUUUACUACGAGACUCUUUGGCUCAGUGGGGGACAGAGGGCCGGGUGGCAGUAUGGCUUCAUGUGCCUAUCUCUUUCAGCCGUUGUGCCGCAGCUGCCUCUGCUCAUGGCUUCACCUUCCACCACGCCAAACAGGACCGCUCAAUUCUGUCUCUGUGGCUGGGGGAUGGGCAGAGCAGGCUGCCCGGGUUUGCUACUCAUCACAUUGGAGUGGCAGGUGGCAUGCUGUUUCCUUUAUACCUCCCCCAAAGUGGAUGCAAGCAUGUCAGAACAUGUCUGUGGAAAGAGGAUGGCCAAAACCUGGUCCACAUGGUCUGAUGGCAUGUUGCCAACGGUAACUUGCGGGACCCCACCAUCAUGACUGUAAGUGUUUUUAGGACUGUUAUGUGUUGGAGUACACACCAACACAACACACUGGGUAAUUUGUGUUAUUAAAUCAUUUAGUUUACAUCAUAUCAUCAUCCAAGGAGUUUUAGUGUCAAACCGAGCAACCAGCUCCUUUCCCUGAAGAUAUUUUGGGGUCAAAAAUGAAUUGGUGAGUGUACCAAUAACCUUGCCACUUAGCGUUAGGUCCAAAAUUAUUGCCACUGUUGAUAAAGAUGACCAAAAAAUACUAAAAUAAAUAUGACAAAUAAUGAGCUAUAUUGUAUGUGAAAAAAAAUGUGUGACGAAUAUAUUAUGUUAUACAAAUACAUUUGCUCAGAGAAAGAGAUUGUUUAAUAAGUAAUAUACUUUUUUUUUUUAAGAUAGGGGUCAAAAUUAUUUCCAAGUCUGUUUUCAAUACCUUUCAAAAUCUCACCUUGCGAGGAUAAUGGCCUUUUUCUAAAAUGUUUUAUGAGAAUGGAGAACACACUGGGAGGUUUCUUAGACCACUCCUCCAUACAGAAUCUUUUCAGAACCUUGAUAUCCUUUGUCUGCUCUAAUGGACUGCCCUCUUCAAUUCAAGCCACAGGUUUUCAAUGGGGUUUAAGUACAGACUUGAUUUUGUGGUCAUUUAACCGUUGUGAAUGACAGGCACAUCGAUCUGCAUUGUUAAACAUGAAGGGGAUGGGACAUGGGGGGGAUGAGAUUAAAGACUCCUAAAUUGAUAGUGCAGUUUGUUUAGGCGACUGUACAGCUAACUAGCUGCUUUACAUGCUAAUAUUGUCUUUGGUAUUAUUGUAACCAGCUAUGUUUGCUAGCUAGCCAGCCAAUAAAGAGCUGCAACAGAUUCCCACAUUUUUUUUCCCAUGUUGCUGCCAACCUUAUUAUAAUACCAAAAUGAAACAUUUGUUCACAAAAAAUAUUAUUCUCAGUGUUAUUCAACACUUUAAAUUUAAAAGAAUGAGUGGUUUUGGGAGAAUCUUUCCUUGAUUCAGGACCCAAGCUAUCAGCCACAGCAGCCAACAGUUUUAAAUGAAGGGAAGUCCCUUCGUUGAUUACUUGGUUUGGUGCGUCAUUCCCGAAUUUACGAACAGACGCAGUCUUUUGGAGGAAAAUGUUCUCCCCCUCCACAGCUAACCUAAUGAUAGCUUCUCAGUCCGGUACCCGGGCAAUCUCCUGUGAUGUGCCCGGUGCCGGCCGGGGAUGACAUCAAUUUCCACACAGAAGGCCAAGUCAGGGAUUAGAUGACCCAUCCCUCGUCACACAUCUGAGGGAUUCAUUCAAGGUCUAGAGUGUGUCCUGGUGAGACACCGGCCCGGAAAAACAAGGGCCCAUUUCCUUCUCCCUGGAGCUGUCAACAGAGGCACAUAGCUGGCCCUCUUAGUCACAACCCACUGGGUACAAACUUUUGUUCAAAAUCUAGUUUUGAUUUACAUUUGGUUGAAUUGUCAACUAAACGUUAAAUUCACGUGAAAUCAAUAAAAAGGUUAAAAGUUGGGUGAAAAAAUAUGAAAUUCCUUUACAUUGAUUACUUUUUUCAAAUCUAAUCAGUUUUCCACCUUGAUUCAAUGUCAUCACAUUGCAUUUUUGGGUUGAAAUAAUGUGGAAACAAUGUUGAUUUACCCAGUUUUUGCCCAAUGGGAACUUGUUGAAAAAGGGGUUUAGUUAUGAAUAUCGGUCAAGUCCCUGAUGUUUUUCGAGUUGUUGUGAUGGCCCCUCUCUCUGGCAGGCUGAAUAAAGCCAGGCCCCAGGGCACUUAGUGCUCACCCCACGUGGGUCAGUUAAAUGAAACGUUUUCAUGUUCUCUCAAACCCAAUAAUAAUUACCUGGUCUUAAGUCAGUUGUCUGGAAGCUGUUGUCAAGGUUCUUUGGAGUAUGGACCAGCACGUAGACACUUUUUCUAUCCAUCAAGGUGCAGUCAUUGAUAAGUCAAAUGUUAAGGUUGCCAUUGUUCAAGAUAAAAACAAGGUACUGGACUGUUUCUCUGCCUGUCAUGUUUUAUGUAUUACAUAAGGCUCAACUUGAAACGUGUUUUCUUUUAUGAGAUAUGUCGACUUCUAUUAGGGACCAAUCCUUAAGAGUCUAUUGGACACACUGUCACAUCUGCUCCUGCUACGCCCUCUGGUGUUCAUCCGGUGUCUUCUUUACCUGCAGUUACUCCCCCAGUACACUCUCUCUCCCUCUCUGUGUGAUUGUGUGGUUGGAGACAGGUGUGCUGGCGUCAGAGAAAAUCCCUUCCAGCUGCAACUCGUUCCAUAAUCAAGACCUCUACAAAUACUCAGUCCUGCCACUUCCACUCUGCCAGAUUGUAAUCUCUGCUCAGUCAGCUAUUAUUCUAGCCAUUUAUUGUUACGCAAGAUCCUGUUGUGCCCGUUUCCCUGCCUGACACCUUUUAUACUCUCAUUGCAGUUACUGCUCUGUCUCUUGCUCCUGUCUACUGUUCCACAUCUCACCACCCAACUACCUUGUUCUCGAUUUUACUCACCAUCACUACCUUGGAUUCCCCUCAGGAUCUGUUUACCAAGUUCUACUCAGCCAACUCCAAACUCUGUCUCCACAUCUGGUUUUUCUGCAACUCAUCCGAGCUUCCCCGAAUCUGCACUCCAUAUCUCUCUGUGUAACAAUAAAUAUUUUGGUU